CCGGGCGCACGGGUGAGUAACACGUAUCCAACCUGCCGUCUACUCUUGGCCAGCCUUCUGAAAGGAAGAUUAAUCCAGGAUGGGAUCAUGAGUUCACAUGUCCGCAUGAUUAAAGGUAUUUUCCGGUAGACGAUGGGGAUGCGUUCCAUUAGAUAGUAGGCGGGGUAACGGCCCACCUAGUCAACGAUGGAUAGGGGUUCUGAGAGGAAGGUCCCCCACAUUGGAACUGAGACACGGUCCAA
rnacentral:rRNA from 1 species